UACGUAGGGGGCAAGCGUUGUCCGGAUUUAUUGGGCGUAAAGAGCGUGUAGGCGGCCAGACAGGUCCGUUGUGAAAACUCGAGGCUCAACCUCGAGACGUCGAUGGAAACCGUCUGGCUAGAGUCCGGAAGAGGAGAGUGGAAUUCCUGGUGUAGCGGUGAAAUGCGCAGAUAUCAGGAAGAACACCCGUGGCUAAGGCGGCUCUCUAGUACGGUACUGACGCUGAGACGCGAAAGCGUGGGGAGCGAACAGG
rnacentral:rRNA from 1 species